rnacentral:rRNA from 1 species
GACGAACGCUGGCGGCGUGCCUAAUACAUGCAAGUAGAACGCUGAAGAGAGGAGCUUGCUCUUCUUGGAUGAGUUGCGAACGGGUGAGUAACGCGUAGGUAACCUGCCUUGUAGCGGGGGAUAACUAUUGGAAACGAUAGCUAAUACCGCAUAACAAUAGGUGACACAUGUCAUUUAUUUGAAAGGGGCAAUUGCUCCACUACAAGAUGGACCUGCGUUGUAUUAGCUAGUAGGUGAGGUAACGGCUCACCUAGGCGACGAUACAUAGCCGACCUGAGAGGGUGAUCGGCCAAACUGGGACUGAGACACGGCCCAGACUCCUACGGGAGGCAGCAGUAGGGAAUCUUCGGCAAUGGGGGCAACCCUGACCGAGCAACGCCGCGUGAGUGAAGAAGGUUUUCGGAUCGUAAAGCUCUGUUGUAAGUCAAGAACGAGUGUGAGAGUGGAAAGUUCACACUGUGACGGUAGCUUACCAGAAAGAGACGGCUAACUACGUG